GAGUCUACGUUCAGGUGAUGUUAGAAAUCGGGGACCACGUCUUCGCCAGCGAAGACGCAGUAUAGCGGUUGC